UUUUUUCACAUUGGUACCCAAAAAUCUCAAAUUAUCUUUCAUCCUCAUCUAGAAACAGUAUUUUUCACAUCUCUACAGUUCGCUUCUGUCAGCUCCUACCCCCGAUUGUCAGCUCCUCUUCCUGCAAAAAGAAAGAUUUUAUCUAAAAAGGGUGCCAAUUUUUCUAAUUUUUCUUACAGAUCCGACAACCCAAUUUCUCUGCUACAAUUUCAAGAUUUUCUUUGCUGUAAGUAUUUCAGAAUGUUGUUGAUAAAAUUAAGCUGUAUGCUAUGCGAAUCACAUUUAUUGAAGGUAUCAAUCAAUCAAUCAAUCAAUCAAUCAAUCAAUCAAAUUGGGAUUGGCUAUAUGAAUCCCCCAUAGCUAUUUUGCUCUGUGGGGAUAUGUGUAUUAAACGGUAUUGUGAAAUUGACAAUCUGCUACUGAAUUAAAAUUGUAUGUACUGAGAUUUAGGAUGAAAUUGCAUAUACGGAGCUGAAUUAUUUGCUGCUGCCUGAAGGAAAACUGGAUUUUUAUCUGAAAUUAAGUGGGUUUGCUUGACUAUUCUUUUCAGCAUUAUAUAGUGUGAUUCUAACAGUAAUUAUUUGCAAGUAUUGGAAUGAAAAGGGCAAGAGAGCAGCAAAAUGGAUAUAGAGGGUCAUAUAGUUAGUUGAUCCCAACUAGUAUGGGAUUGAGACGUAGUUGAUUAUUUACUGGUUGAAGGUGCUAAACUUAAGCAUGUAACCCAAAGCUGGCUAAAUAAUUGAGAAAAGCUGAGAUAUUUCGAGCUAUCAAUGCUAGAGGAAGUCACUUUGAAUUGGGGUUAUCUCCAAUUUGUUUAUAUGAAAAAUUCAAAUAAGGAGGCUACAAAAGUUUUUUCCUCCCAAUUGAGGACCUUUAAGUUUACUUUAAAAACCUCAUUGGCUUCUGUAGCAGAACCAACUACCAGCAUUGUUAUCUGAACACUUUACUACUUGAAAAUGGACCUUAAUUGUUGAAUUUUCUAAUUCAACCUACAGUUAUAGAGCACUGUGGUGCAAGGGGUUUUUUUUUUUUUUUUUUGAGAAGGAGCAAGGUUGUGCUUUUCUUAAAAU
rnacentral:lncRNA from 1 species